UGGAUGCAUCAUAGGGUGCCAACAAAGCGCCUUUAAAAUCUUUGCGGCAGAACCUAGCAACUUUCAGGAGGCAAAGCAGCAAAACAAUGGCCCAAAUCAACAGUGGAACACGAAACCACCAUCCUGUAGGUGGUGGAGACAUCUGCCCAAAUCACCUGCUCUGGACAUAUGAGCCUUCAAGAAGGGCCACAAACAGCAGGCUGUUGGGC
rnacentral:lncRNA from 1 species